rnacentral:rRNA from 1 species
AACGAACGCUGGCGGCAUGCCUAACACAUGCAAGUCGAACGAGACCUUCGGGUCUAGUGGCGCACGGGUGCGUAACGCGUGGGAAUCUGCCCUUCGGUUCGGAAUAACUCAGGGAAACUUGAGCUAAUACCGGAUAAUGACGUAAGUCCAAAGAUUUAUCGCCGAAGGAUGAGCCCGCGUAGGAUUAGCUUGUUGGUGGGGUAAUGGCCCACCAAGGCGACGAUCCUUAGCUGGUCUGAGAGGAUGAUCAGCCACACUGGGACUGAGACACGGCCCAGACUCCUACGGGAGGCAGCAGUGGGGAAUAUUGGACAAUGGGCGAAAGCCUGAUCCAGCAAUGCCGCGUGAGUGAUGAAGGCCUUAGGGUUGUAAAGCACUUUCAGUGGGGAAGAACAGGUUCGGGUCAAUACCCCGGAGCCCUGACGUUACCCACAGAAGAAGCACCGGCUAACUCCGUGCCAGCAGCCGCGGUAAAAUGCGUACU